AUUGAACGCUGGCGGCAGGCCUAACACAUGCAAGUCGAGCGGUUGACGGGAGCUUGCUCCCUGAUUCAGCGGCGGACGGGCGAGUAAUGCCUAGGAAUCUGCCUAUUAGUGGGGGACAACGGUUCGAAAGGAACGCUAAUACCGCAUACGUCCUACGGGAGAAAGCAGGGGACCUUCGGGCCUGGCGCUAACAGAUGAGCCUAGGUCGGAUUAGCUUGUUGGUGAGGUAAUGGAUCACCAAGGCGACGAUCCGUAACUGGUCUGAGAGGAUGAUCAGUCACACUGGAACUGAGACACGGUCCAGACUCCUACGGGAGGCAGCAGUGGGGAAUAUUGGACAAUGGGCGAAAGCCUGAUCCAGCCAUGCCGCGUGUGUGAAGAAGGUCUUCGGAUUGUAAAGCACUUUAAGUUGGGAGGGAGGGUUGUAGAUUAAUACUCUGCAAUUUUGACGUUACCGACAGAAUAAGCACCGGCUAACUCUGUGCCAGCCGCCGCCGUAAGAC
rnacentral:rRNA from 1 species